AUGGAGCCUUCCUCUCCUUGCGUCUUUCAAGCCCGCAGGAAUUCUGCCCAGGGAAUCGGGGCCAGAGCUGCCGCUCCGACUCCUCAGCCGGCGCCCGCGCCCCCGGGGGCAUCUCUGCGCAGGACCGGCCUCGCGCGGCAGCAGCGCCCCAGCUGGCACCGAGGUCUCUGCAGGCUCUCACUUCUGCUAGUCUUGUCUCGUCCUCCCCUGCCCUCCUCUCCUCUCUUCUGUUUCCCUCCUCCUCCCCUCUCCUUCUCCUCUCCUUUCCUCCUCCUGCCCCCUCCUCUUUUCCUCUCCUUCCCUCCCCUCCCCUCCCCCCUUCUCUUCCCCUCCCUUCGUCUCCCCUCUCUUCCCUGCUCUCCUCUUCUCUCCUCUCUUCCCUCUCCUUUCCUGACGUCUGUAGGCCAAUUCAUAGACCUUACUGGAAACUGGCAAAAAAAUGUCUCUGGCCAUAGCAAUGGCCAACCAGUCUCAGAGGGACUUCAGGCAACUCUCAGCGGCCUGGUUCUGGAUCAGACGCCGAGCUGGCCUUUUUCAGAAAUGCUCUCUCAAACAAUUCUGUGAACUAGACACCAUCAUCAUGGGGGUCAAACUCCCAUUCGAUUCCCAGGCUACCCUACUGUUACCUCUUUUGGCCCAACUGACAGCCAUCUGGCCCCAGAAGCCAGCUGCCUAUCUUGAAGCUGAUCACAGAAACAUGAGUGAGCCUAGUCAAGACCAGAAGAACCGCCUGGAUGAGCCCAAGUGCUGACUCACAGAGUCAUGAGCUAAGUAAAUGGUUGUGGUUCUAAGCCACUAAUUUCUGGAGCUGUUUGCUAUUCAGUGAAAGCUGAUACUUACUGCUGCAAAUAUUUGAACCCAAAUUUCCUUGUCUUUUUUCCUCCCUCAAAUAUAAAAAAAAAAAAGGAGGCUUUUCAAUAUGACAUUUCUUCCCAGUAAACUAUCAUGUCUUCUCAACAAUAGGGAAGAAGUACCCUUCUGUGUUCACCUUACAGCCAUCAGAUUAAUGGUAUUUUUAUUUUAUUGUGCUGAAGCAAACACCUGAACAUCACUGUCGUUCUCCUUUCUUCAUAAAUGAGUUUUCUUACUUUUUCAUGCCCUGGCAGGCUUUGCUGUGAGCACACAAAUCCACAGCGAGCUGCCAGUGCUUGAGGCACCCGGGCUGGGGGGCCUCCAAAUACGUCCUCGCCCACCAUCGCGCCCUGUCAAAGCUGGCUAUCUCCAGCAGUCCAUUUUCACAGCUGUGGCCUUCUGAAGUGGGCUCCCCUCAAUGCAGGAAAAUAGCAGAUUGCUUUUAUGUUCAAGCAUCAAAGUUUAUUUUUGAAAUAUGUUUGCCUUCUCAUGAACUUCUUGAGGUUUUUGUGGGUAGGUGCAGAUAUAAGCUAAUUAAAUAAUUUAUUUUCAGGUGCCCCACCUCAUCAUGCCAAGAUCUGAAGGCAGCUGCAGAGGUCUCGUUCUCCAAGUGGACGGACUAGGAACCCUCCAUAGGACGCAGAUUUGAUGGUGCUGUGAAGCCCUCUCUCAAGCAUCUGCUCGUGCUCGUCACGAGGCCCGGAUUCCCUCCAGCAGCUUCUUCUUUCUUCUGACCUUGAAGGUUUUGUGACGUUUAA
rnacentral:lncRNA from 1 species